rnacentral:rRNA from 1 species
UACAGGGGGGGCAAGCGUUGUUCGGAAUUACUGGGCGUAAAGGGUUCGUAGGUGGCCAACUAAGUCAGACGUGAAAUCCCUCAGCUUAACUGGGGAACUGCGUCUGAUACUGGGUGGCUUGAAUCCGGGAGAGGGAUGCGGAAUUCCAGGUGUAGCGGUGAAAUGCGUAGAUAUCUGGAGGAACACCGGUGGCGAAGGCGGCAUCCUGGACCGGCAUUGACGCUGAGGCGCGAAAGCCAGGGGAGCAAACGGG